rnacentral:rRNA from 1 species
AAUUUGACCUCAAAUCAGGUAGGACUACCCGCUGAACUUAAGCAUAUC